CUGCUAUGUGGAUAUUUGGUAGCAAUGACUGAUGUGGAAACUACAUAUGCAGAUUUUAUUGCUUCAGGAAGAACAGGUAGAAGAAAUGCAAUACAUGAUAUCCUGGUUUCCUCUGCAAGUGGCAACAGCAAUGAAUUAGCCUUGAAAUUAGCAGGUCUUGAUAUCAACAAGACAGGUAAAAGGUGAAGAAGAUGCACAACGAAGUUCUACAGAACAAAGUGGGGAAGCCCAGGGAGAAGCAGCAAAAUCUGAAAGCUAACACCCCACUUUGACCCUCGACCACACCUGAAAAUGUCUCAAAUCUCCAGGAGUAUCUGGAAUGCAUUUGUUUCCAUGAGUGAAAAGAGGAAAAAGAAAAUGGCUGUGCUGCAUUGCAGGAACCUGCUCAUUAUCAUGUUAAAAAUGAGGGCAGAGGCUGUGGCUGCAGGCAGACUUUUCCCUACCUCUGUCAUUAGCAAUGGUUGAAAUCAUGUGGCUUGUGUUUGGGCGUCAUUUUUGUAUGGAUCCUUUCACUUGAUCAUAUGACGAAAUGCUUAUAGAGAGUAGCUCCGACCUAGAUGAUGAUUCUUCCUGUAGCAUCUGGCCCCUCACAAUGUCAGAGGAUUUAAUUGUGUCUAAUUGCGAAGGGUUGAUUGAACCCCAGAGUUUAAAUAUCUCUGGCUCAAGUGUUCACCCAGUAAAAGAAAGAUCCAGAAAGCACUGUUUUUAGCAUUACGUAUCUGUGUGUUACUGCUGUGUUAUUUACACUGUUUUGUAUUGUACAAUAUAUAUGCUCAGCACUGCCCCCUUCUCUGAUUGCUUAUGAAAAACAAAAUGAUGUACAUUACUGUGAAUUUUUAUACCACUCAUUUUUAAAAGGGCUGUCUUUUCAUUUUAGUUUUCCAUACUGUGGUGGUGUACACAGGAUAGAACACCCUUUUUUAAAACACAGUCUUUCCCCUUGCUCAUUGUAUGUUGAUGAGUUGAUUAAGUCUAACAGAUUCAUCAAGACUCCAUUGCUUUAUUAUAGAGACAUUUGAAAAUAUCCAUUAAUGUGAAUAUCACCUGAAUUCAGUCUGUUUGGUGUCUGCACAGACUGGAAUUCAAUCUGUCAAAUUUGUUUUAUUCUCAAGUGGAGAACUUCUCCCACAUAAUAUAUAUAUAUAUAUAUAUUUUAAUUUAUGAGAAUUUUGGACAAUUGGAAAGGUAGAAAAGAAAAGCCAAGAUCAUACUAAGGACUGGAAAUAUUUUGUUCUAUGGAAUCAAAUUUCUCACAAUGCUGUAUGAUACUAUUUAAAUUUGGAGGACAACUUAUCUUCACUAAGCUGAAUCAGGUGGAGAAAGUAAUCUCCUUGCAAUCAUGUGGACACCAAUCACAAAAGUAAAGCCCUGGUGUUGUGUUUUCAUGUCUUUUUUCAGCCCUCUCAGAUCCAAAUGUUAUUAUGCACUUUUUAAUGUUUGUAAACUUUUACUAAUAAUUAGUGUGAAUUGCAUUCUGAUACAAUAAUGAUUAUCAUUAGAAGCUAACAAAAUUCUCAUUAAUACUGUGUUUGAUGGCCUCUGCUGUGUUUUAACAUCGUGCUUCUUAUAUGGAAAGUUUUUGUGAGCUGUGUAAUCCCUCUGGUCAGUAUUAUGAAAUCAUUUG
rnacentral:lncRNA from 1 species